AAGUCGUAACAAGGUUUCCGUAGGUGAACCUGCGGAAGGAUCAUUAUCACGUUUAAACGUUUAAUCUCCGUGACAGAGUCCGUUUAAUAAAAGCAUUCACCUUUUAUGGACUCAACCUUUUAAAAAGCUGGUAUUACAGUGUCUCUGGCUUGAGCUUUGGGUCUUAAGCCUGGCUGUGAAAUCAGUCCACCCUUUUCAACCCUCUACCUUAAAACCCAUUCAAAACUUAAACAACAUUGUUUAAAAGAAUUGUCCUCGCGGCAUUCUUAUAGAACAAAACGUACAACUGUUAACAACGGAUCUCUUGGUUCUC
rnacentral:misc_RNA from 1 species